GAUGGGGAUGUGGUUAGUCUGGUGUGUGGUGGCCCUGUACUUCUUAAGACACACAGACGCUAAUAUCACCCAGACACCAAAUCUGGUACUGAAGAGAGGACAGACAGCCCAGCUGACAUGCAGACAAACUGAUAAUCAUAACUCUAUGUACUGGUAUCAGCAGCAGCAGGGGAAGGGUCUGCAGCUGAUCUAUUACUCAGUUGCUGUAGAUAACAAGGAGAAUGGUGAUAUUACAGAUGGAUUCACAGUCUCCCGACCAAAGAUCGACAUCUUUGACUUGAACAUCUCAUCUGUGAAGAUGGAGCACUCAGCUGUGUAUUUCUGUGCCAGCAGUUUAGACACAGUGCUUCAGAGUCACCUCCUUCCUCUACAAAAACCUCCCUCCUUCCCCCCACACUCCCUCAGAAAGAGCAGCUCCUCCCAUCUGCACAUAUGAGAGAGAUCAGGCUACUAUCAUACAGAAAGAAACAGCUUAUUACACAU